CUCCAACUCACAGUGCCACACCGGCAGGCAAGGCAUCGUCGACCGACGGCGCGCCGCAGCAGCAGCUUCUAGCUCCAAACCGAACCAACACGUGCUAUCCACCAUGGAGGCGCCGCUGCACCAGUUCCCCUUCCCCGUGCCGCCGCCGCCGCAGCCGCAGGACGCGCUGCUGCAGCAGGCGGUGGCGGCGCGCGCGCUGAUGAUGGCCGGGAAAAGGGCGCCGCUGCAGGCUACCGCGGCGGCGGGACGGGAGCAGUGCCCGCGGUGCGCGUCGCGGGACACCAAGUUCUGCUACUACAACAACUACAACACGGCGCAGCCGCGGCACUUCUGCCGCGCGUGCCGCCGCUACUGGACGCUGGGGGGAUCCCUCCGCAACGUCCCCGUGGGCGGGUCCACGCGCAAGCGCCAGCGCCCGGCGCGGCCCACCCGCGCCAUGGCCGCCGCCGCCGCCACGGCGGCUACGCAAACGGCAACAACGACCGCCUGCAGCCCGUUCGCCGUCUCUCCAGCAACAAUGCUGAUACAGGGCGCGGCAGGCGGCGGCCUCCUCGUCAGCUCGCUGCUGCUGGGCUCGGCGUCCGCGUCACCGCUGCUCGCGCUCGGCACAGCGCCGCUGCUGGAAGGCCGGCUUGGCUUCGACCUCGGCCUCGGGGACGCAGCAGCGCUAGCAGCCGCCGACGGGACUCCUGGCGACUUGGCUCACCACCACCAGCCGCUGACGCUGGGCGCCGGGCCGCUCCCGUGGCCCGCAGCGACGAUCUUGGAGGGCGACCGCGUGGAGACGACGACGUGGAAAGCCUCUGCUGACGUGUUCCCCUUCCCGCCGGCGGCCGCGCUGUGGCAGGAGCUCGCGCCGGCGGUGGAGGCCGGUGGGCUGCACCACGGUGCCCCGCACCUGCUCCUGUGACACGCUCCCACGCACAUGAGGACGUGUACGUGAAUGAAGAUGUACUAUUCAUGUAGUUAUGUUCUGUUUAUUACAUGCGUGCAUGCAUGAUGCAUGAUGGCAGCUCCGUCGUCUGUCGUGUCUUGUGUUGGCUCAUUUUUCACGUGUGUUGGCUCAUUUUUCAAGUAUUUAUGG